rnacentral:rRNA from 1 species
GACGAACGCUGGCGGCGCGCUUAACACAUGCAAGUCGAGCGAUGAAACUUUAACAGAACCCUUCGGGGCGAAGAUAAAGUGGAUUAGCGGCGGACGGGUGAGUAACACGUGAGUAACCUGCCUUAGACAUUGGGAUAGCCUCGGGAAACCGGGAUUAAUACCAAAUAAAAUCAUAAUGACACAUGUCAUAACGAUCAAAACUCCGGUGGUCUAAGAUGGACUCGCGUCCCAUUGGCUAGUUGGUAGAGUAAAAGCCUACCAAGGCGACGAUGGGUAGCCGGGCUGAGAGGGUGAACGGCCACAUUGGAGAUGAGAAACGGACCAAACUCCGACGGGAGGCAGCAGUGGGGAAUAUUGCACAAUGGAGGGAACUCUGAUGCAGCGACGCCGCGUGAACGAAGAAGGCUUUCGAGUCGUAAAGUUCUUUUAUAUGGGAAGAUAAUGACGGUAACAUAAGAAAAAGCCCCGGCUAACUACGUG